AGKYGRGGGRRAAAGGAACUAACGAGGAUUUCCCUAGUAACGGCGAGUGAACGGGAAUAAGCCCAGCGCUGAAUCCUCUGGCCACUGGUCACCAGGAAUUGUAGCGUAUAGGCGUGACUAUUCGGACGCUUCGUUCACCCAAAGUCCCCUUGAGCGGGGCUACAGUCCAUAGAAGGUGCUAGACCUGUACGGGUGGUGAAACGUUCGAUUGGUUACUCCUUGGAGUCGGGUUGCCUGAGAUCGCAGCCCAAAGUGGGUGGUAAACCUCAUCUAAGGCUAAAUAUGGCCACGAGACCGAUAGCAAACAAGUACCGUGAGGGAAAGUUGCAAAGAACUUUGAAGAGAGAGUUCAAGAGGGCGUGAAACCGCUGAGGUGGAAGCGGAUAGAGUUGACGAAACUCGGCGACAUUCAACCAGUCGUCUCAGCGGCCUUGCGGCUUUGUGCCUCGAUGAGGGCAAAGACGUGAGCAGCUGCCGAGCUCAUGACCGGUGUAUUUGUUGUCGGUAUGCGCUGAAGGGGUCGCUACCGUGCGCCAACGCUUGUUUAGUGGACCACUCCCUCUGGGGGUGGAACCCUGAUCAAGUUCAGGCGUUUUGGUGGUGACUUGCAUUUGGGUGUUCUCCGCUGUUGCGCAGCCUCUGUUGCGAUGUUAGCGCGGUCGUUGGGCGGUCGCAUGCGACUUGCCUACGGCUGUUGCUGGCGAGUAGCAGUCUGCUGCGUUGAGACACUUGACUUCGGUGUGAAAGUUAACCACCUAUCCGACCCGUCUUGAAACACGGACCAAGGAGUCUAGCAUAUGCGCGAGUCAUUGGGUGGAAAACCUAAAGGCGUAAUGAAAGUAAAGGUCGUCUUGAUGCGGCUGAUAUGGGAUCUCUGCGAUUUCGGUCGUAGAGCGCACCAUAGCCCCGUCCCCGUUGCUUGCAAUAGGGCGGAGAUUGAGCGCAUACGCUGGGACCCGAAAGAUGGUGAACUAUGCCUGAGCAGGAUGAAGCCAGAGGAAACUCUGGUGGAGGUCCGAAGCGGUUCUGACGUGCAAAUCGAUCGUCUGACUUGGGUAUAGGGGCGAAAGACUAAUCGAACCAUCUAGUAGCUGGUUCCCUCUGAAGUUUCCCCCAGGAUAGCUGGAGCUCGUACAAAGCAGUUAUAUUCGGUAAAGCGAAUGAUUAGAGGAAUUGGGGACGAAACGACCUCAACCUAUUCUCAAACUUUCAAUGGGUAUGAUGUUUCGCUUGCUUAAUUUGAAGCGUAGACAUUGAAUGUGAGCUCCAAGUGGGCCAUUUUUGGUAAGCAGAACUGGCGCUGUGGGAUGAACCAAACGUCGGGUUAAAGUGCCAAACUUCCCGCUCAUGAGACCCCAUGAAAGGCGUUGGUUGAUAUAGACAGCAGGACGGUGGCCAUGGAAGUCGGAACCCGCUAAGGAGUGUGUAACAACUCACCUGCCGAAUCAACUAGCCCUGAAAAUGGAUGGCGCUUGAGCGGGGGACUUAUACCCGACCGUUGCUUGGCUUGUGUCAACCUCUCGAGGGUUCGCCUGGCCGCAACGAGUAAGAGGGUCGCAGUGGUUUGCGUUGAAGGCUUUGGGCGUAGGCCCAGCUGGAGCUUCCACUGGUGCAGAUCUUGGUGGUAGUAGCAAAUAUUCAAGUGAGAUCCUUGAAGACUGAAGUGGAGAAGGGUUCCACGUGAACAGCAGUUGAAUGUGGGUCAGUCGGUCCUAAGAUACUGGCAAAAGCCUUUUGCAUUGAGAGACGGAGUUCAAAUCCAUCUCGGCAGUCGAAAGGGAAACGGGUUAAUAUUCCCGUACCCGGACACGGAGAUAAGCGCUCAUCGCGAGUGCUUAGCGCGGUAACGCAAACGAACUCGGCGACGCUGAAUAGAGCCCGAGCCAGAGUUCUCUUUUCUGGUUAAGGAACGGACUCCCUGGAAUCGGUUCAGCCGGAGAUAGGGACGUUGUUUCCGUAAAGCGCCACGGUUCCUGUGGUGUCUCGUGCGCUCUUGUUCGGCCCUUGAAAAACCGAGGGAGGCUACUUGAAUUUCGUGCCGGACCGUACCGAUAUCCGCAGCAGGUCUCCAAGGUGAACAGCCUCUAGUCGAUAGAAUAAUGUAGGUAAGGGAAGUCGGCAAAUUAGAUCCGUAACUUCGGGAAAAGGAUUGGCUCUAAGGACUGGGCCGGUCGGGCUGUAGUGUGAAGUGAGUACGGUUUGAUCCAUGCAGUGCAACGCUCGGAAACGAGUGGAGCUCGGCUAGUGUUCGAACUGUCUUAUGGACCGCUACAGCUGCGUGCCUCGCCUUCACGGGUGUUGGUGCUUCGGCCGGCGCUAAACAGUCAACUUAGAACUGGCACGGACUCGGGGAAUCCGACUGUCUAAUUAAAACAGAGGAGACAGAUGGCCCUUGCGGGCGUUGACUGUCUCUGAUUUCUGCCCAGUGCUCUGAAUGUAAAAGUGAAGAAAUCAACCAAGCGCGGGUAAACGGCGGGAGUAACUAUGACUCUCUUAAGGUAGCCAAAUGCCUCGUCAUCUAAUUAGUGACGCGCAUGAAUGGAUUAACGAGAUUCCCACUGUCCCUAUCUACUAUCUAGCGAAACCACAGCCAAGGGAACGGGCUUGGCAAACACAGCGGGGAAAGAAGACCCUGUUGAGCUUGACUCUAGUCCGACUCUGUGAAGAGUCAUGAGAGGUGUAGCAUAAGUGGGAGGUAUCGGCCGACAGUGAAAUACCACUACUUUCAUCGAUUCUUUACUUAUUCGGUAAGACGAGAAUUGAGCCUAUCCGGCUCUUCAUUCUGGUGUUAAGUGUAGCCACUCGGUGGCCGCACGACUCGCGCCGAAGACAGUGUCAGGCGGGGAGUUUGACUGGGGCGGUACAUCUGUCAAAUCGUAACGCAGGUGUCCUAAGGCUAGCUCAGAGAGGACGGAAACCUCUCGUAGAGCAAAAGGGCAAAAGCUCGCUUGAUCUUGAUUUCCAGUACGAAUACAGACCGCGAAAGCGUGGCCUAUCGAUCCUUUUGAAUUAGAAGGUUUCUAGCAAGAGGUGUCAGAAAAGUUACCACAGGGAUAACUGGCUGUGGCUAGCCAAGCUGU
rnacentral:rRNA from 1 species